rnacentral:rRNA from 1 species
UACGUAGGGUGCAAGCGUUGUCCGGAUUAUUGGGCGUAAAGAGCUCGUAGGCGGUUUGUUGCGUCGGCUGUGAAAUCCCGAGGCUCAACCUCGGGUCUGCAGUCGAUACGAGCAAACUAGAGUGUUGCAGGGGAGACUGGAAUUCCUGGUGUAGCGGUGAAAUGCGCAGAUAUCAGGAGGAACACCGGUGGCGAAGGCGGGGUCUCUGGGGCAACAACUG